GGAGUAUGGCGCUAGAAGAACGGUCAUAUUGAAUCGACUAAAACUUAUUUGUUAUACUUUGAGAUGAUAUCGUCACAAGUCAAUUGCUAUAACACGGAGUGUUAACGUGUGUUUUAGUUCCUUAGACCAUGAGAGUAUCGUAGUCACUUCUUACCAUACAAUGAGCUUGGGGGUUGCUCAAACAUCAUCAGUAACUUGGUGAUCAUAAUGACAACUUACAGGUUCAUCGGAAAGUUUGAUAAGGGACUAGAUAGCUCGAGAGUGGAAUUUGCUCCUCCGACGAUGGAGAGAUAUUCUUAGGGACCUCUUGGUGUGAAGGCAUCCAUCAUCAUCUGGCAAGACACAGGUGACAAUGUCAUGGGGAUGCCAGAACACGACAAUGAGAAAGAAGAACAAAACUGACAGCGAGGUGACUGGUAUAGUGAUCAUGUGUAUGACUCAAGAGGAUACCGACACAUCUCACGCGGGUUUUGUAAAGUAUCACGAAGAAAAGGGAACAUCACAUGAUAACUAAAGGUUUGCUUGAAUGUAAUUCAUGUAAUCAUAGGGAUAGAUAUGGACGUCCGCGGUUCCACUAUCGGACAUUGAACGAAUGGGUUUCAUUCAUGUCUAUGUUUUACCGAACCUAUAGGGUCACAAGCUUAAGGUAAUCAUGAUAUGUUGAGUGUUAGUAAGACGAGAGUAUCGACGAUUUCUUUGUGAAAUAGUUUCGUUAAUAUUCAGAAUAGUUCCAAGAGGAACGGGAAGCGUCUCGAUGUCAUCGGAAGGGUUUCGGAGUUUAUCUGGCAAUUCAGGGUAUUCCUGAUAAAUAAUAUAUAGGUGGAAAAUGUUUUCGGUGAUGUUAAAUUAGUAAUAAAAGGCUCUAGUAAUUGUUAGGAGACUUUUAUAUUUAACUUAAUAUCAACGGCCUUAAAAAAGCCAAGUGGUGAAAGGAGAAUUGGGCCACCAUGGCCCAUAUAGGGGAGGCGCCCCCCCUAUUCCCUUCUAGGAGGCCGAAUUGGAGUGGGAGGAGGACUCCUCCCCACUAGGACGGCGCACCAAGGAGGGGCUUUCCCUCCUUGUGUGGCGCCCCUCCCUCUCCCUCCGACCUAUAUAUACAAGAGGCUUUGGUUCUAUUUGGAAACACAAGUUUUGGAGCCUCCUCUAGUUCUCUAGUUAAUAUAAUUAGAGAUAGUUCUAGUUCCUCUAAUCCUUGUAAUUACAAGCCCCAUGUGGUUCUAAUAUCCUCCUCUAAUUCUCCACCGAUGAUUAGUUCUGGACGGCGAAGCACUGCCGGAUCGUGAAGACUGUACGCUUGCAAUCUGUGGAGAGGCCCUGCUUUCGGCCUUCCGUUUGAGGGACUGUUCGUGGGUGGUUCAUGGGAUAAUUCAUCUACAGUUCGAGAGACUCCAAGUACGAUCUACACCUACUCGUGUACUUCCGCUGCUACUCGGAGUCGGUAACGAUCGUGAUCUAAACCUGUUAUGAAUCUUCGUAUUGUUCCUAGGUGAUCGUAGGGCAAAUUUUUUUCUGUUUUAUAUUACGUUUCCCAACAUCAUUGAGGAAGAAAUAGGUUUUGAGACGCAACGAGGCCAGAUUUGCAUGUGAAAUGACUGUUACGUCGUCGAUUGGCCUUUAAUUUUUUCCACAUGGUUAUAUGUAUCAUGUCAACAAUUGACAUUUCAUGAGUUUGUUUGCUAUACUUAGAACAUUAAAUGCAUUUCUAGGCAUUUAAUGAAUAUAAUUAAAAUUUGUAAUGCAGAUACAUGAAAUAAUCGCCAAAAAUGGGUUGAAAAUCUAAUUGGUGCCCUUUACUCUAUGGUUAGGCCUUAUGUAUGGAAAUAAGAGCAAUCGGAGGCGCUAGGUGGUCGAGACUCACCUACCAACAUGGUGUUUAUUGACAUUUUAAUUUUGAAAAAUUCAAACAAAACCCGAAAAUCAGGAUACUUGACCUGGUGUCAUGAUAUGACUGCUAUGUUCUGCUAAAAUUUUGAGGAUAUUUCAGGAUACUUGACAUGGUGUCAUGAUAUUACAAUCCGGACCUCCCACGAAGAGACUUUUCGAGAAGGAAUGAGCCAGGGUUGCAUGUGAAACGAUCAAUGCCUUGUUGGUGGGCCUAGAUUUUUUUCGCACUCAACACACACCAUAUCAUGUCAAAAGUGAACAUUUUUCACAGUCCAUUAGCUAUAUUUAAUCCAUUAAAUGCAUUUUUAGGCAUUUAAUUGAUAUAAUUUAAAUUUGAAUUGCAUUUACAUAAAGUAAUUGCCAGAAAUGGGUUGACAACCUUAUUGGUUGUCUAUAGUGUAUGUUUAUAUGGCGUAAGAAAAUAAGAAGAGUAUCAAACACUCGGUGGAAGAUUCAGACACCAACAUGGUAGUUAUUAUCUUUUUAAUUCUGAGUAAUUCGAAUGAAUCCAAAAAAACAUGAAAUUUCGUAUGGUGUGGUAAAAUUUCGAGAAUGUUUCCAACAAGUUGGCACGUACAAACCAUUCAUAUUCGAGGAAGAGACUAAGUUUCAACGAGGAACGGGUUUGCAUGCGAAGCCACCUCCCCUUCCUCGGUUGACUUUGAAACUUUAUUCACACUCACCACAUGAUUAUAUGUGAUAAAAAAAUUGACAAUUUUUAGAAUUUGUUAUCUAUUUAAGCUAUAAUUGAUUUACCUCUAUUAAAUACCUAGAUUAUAUUUAAUGCCCUUAAAAUAGAAAAUUAACUGGUAAUGGCGUCAAACUUUUACAUGAAACUUCCAAUGGUACGUUUAAUGUAGAUUUUUUUUAAACCAGAAGCCUAAACCUAAAACAUUUAAAACCCUAAAAAUUAAAAAAAAGACAAAAAACUGGUGGCGGCCCCACCAUUGAUACUACCCAGUCAUCUUGAAAUUACCAAUGACGGGAACACACACACACACACCAUUGGUACUUGAGUUACUAGUGGGGAGCCAAACAUAUCCGCCAUGGUACUUUAGGCCAGAAUAACCAUGUGCCAAAAACACCAAGGCACGUAUCAGUGACGGGCGUGGGUUUGGAGAGAGCCUCGUCAGCGCUAGAUUACGGAACGAUGCACAGGUUGUUGCCCGUGCGGGCCGGCCUGGUAAAUUGCUCGCUCGUUCCCCUGCCUAAAAAAAUGCUCGCUUGCUCGCUGCCCAUUCACCUAUGUAUGUGUGGGUUAAAAACAUUUUGUUGUGUGGCGGUCUGUUGUCUUAGAAAAAGGCAGAUUUUUUGAUUAAUUUGGAAAAACUUGGUGAAAUCAUAAAAUGGUCAUGGGUUUUACAAAAUGUUCAUGAAUUUGGAAAACUGUACCAAGGAUUUAAAAUAAGUUCCAUCAAUUUGAAAAAUGUUUAUGGAAUUGAAAUAAAGUUCAUGGUUUUGAGAAAUGUUUGUAAAUUUGAAAAUGUUAAUGGAUUUACAUAAAAGUUCUCCAAUUUGAAAAACUUCAUAUAUUUUGGAAACGUUCACGAAUUUUUAAACAGUUCUUGAAUUUUGUGAAUUCAAACAAUGUUCAUAGAUUUUUUUUAAAAGUUGUGGAUUUGAAAAAAAUGCAUAUUUUAAAAAAUGUUCAUGGAUUUGAAUUUUUGUAGAUGUAUUUUUUGCGGAUUUUCAAAAUGUUUGCAAUUUUUUAGAGAAGUUAGCAAAUUUUAAAAAUGUUCGCGAAAGUGAAAACAGUUCACUAUUUUAAAAUGAGAAAACAGAAAAACAGAACUAAAAAAUGAACAAGAAAAAUGAAAAAAAGGAAAAAGGGAAAAAAGGAAAAAAUGAAAAAAAGGAAACCAAAAAGAAAGGAAAAAACACGAAAAAAAUAACCCGAACAGAAAAACAAGUGAAAAAAGAAACCUGCAAAAAAAUAGGGCCCAAAAAACAGGUGGGAGGAGAGAUAUUAGGCCCUAGCUCACUUAGAGGUAGUGCAACAUGGGUGGUGCACGGUCUAUCAUUGUGCGGCAUUUCCUAUUUAGCGCUGAGGCGCCGGUUUGUACUGUUUUUCGCUAACCGGCGCCUGCAGCAGCUACUCCUGCGUCUUAGUCAGGCCGGCCCAUAUUAGAUUUUUUUACUGUUUUCUAAACUCGAGAUAAACUGCAAAAAAAGCACGCGAACUAGGAAUCGAACCUGCGACGCAGGUGUUAAGGAUUAAUUAAAUUCUAAUAAUCCAUGCUUAGGUCAGUUGUGUAGAUUAGCAACCGCUAGUUACCGCCUAUGUAGUUACCGCCUUGUAACAGGGGUAUAAAUACCCUACUCUUCAAUCAAUAAAAUAAGAUGUUCAUUCUGUCAAUCACUUGUACUUUCACACGUUAUCGCACACGCCUCUUCCAGAGAGCAAUUAGGCCAAGAACUCGACGGCACCAGCGUCCCUGGCCAUCGGCCUGAUACACGGCUGUGGCAGCCCGACGGCGUGGACACCAGCAGCGGCACCCUUUCAGUUGGCGGCGGCGGCGGCCAACGUCAGGCACACGACAACAGGGGCGGAGAGAGGCGCAGCCCCUCAAGGCACGAACGCCUAAAACAGCCAGAAGGGAAAUAUAGCAGGAAACACUAAUUCCGUUUAGUUUUUGUUCUUCCCGUGAUCUGGAAAUUAACUGCAUUUUUCUGCACAUAGUGGAUCGCUUCAUCCGAGCAUGUGGGCAUGGUGACAUGAAUAGGUGGCUGAAGCAUCAACCGGAAGAAAUCCUUGAUGAAGGAAGAGAAAGCUUCAAUCAAGAACGUACCAUGUCUUUUUCUAAUUUCUUGAACUGGAACUAGCGGCCACUGCCGCUCGUCGUCUCGCCAUCACUGCAGCAGCAACAACCGCGUCGACGACGCACGCAGAAGCAUCAGUCCUCCGGGCGCGGCGGACACCACAGCCACGACACGCCGCUCCUCCGAGCGGCCCUCGGCCCGGCUCUCCGCAGCCGCAUCACGCGGUGGAGGUGGCCCCGCACUCAAGUCCGAGUAACGGCGGUGUCCCCGCGUACGAGGUUUGGUGGCGCCAGCAUCCUCUCUCUGGCCCGGCGAGCCCUCGAGGCAGCCGGGGACGGCGGUAAUUUUCCCCUCAGGAACCGCACGAGAAGAAGAUUGGGGCAACCUUAUCCAUUUUGGUGACUUUUAGUUCGGCUCUCCAACUUUCUAGUAUUCGCAUAUUAGUAUCUAUAGUACAUCUUCAGGCCACAGGUUUUACUGUACUUUACGUCUGUGCAACUGGGAUUUCUGAAAUAAUUUUCAGGCCAUAACAACUGCAGAAUAGCCCAACAGAUUUUCUGCUUGGAUCCUCAGAUCUAAUUGAGUUCAAUCUCUGUGUUUCCUGUAAAUAGCAGUUUAUCUCCUUAGUUAUACUGUAAAAAUUUACAUUAGAGAGACCCUAUCUCUCUGUAUCGUAUUUACUAUAAGUAAGUGAUUAUUCUAGACAAAUUUUCUAGAAUCUGUUGCAUGUUCAAUCUGUUUGCUUUUCAAGCAUCAACCGG
rnacentral:lncRNA from 1 species